GAAGGCUGAAAUUCGCCUUCAUGAAGCCGGAAUUGCUAGUAAUGGCAGGUCAGCAUACUGCCGUGAAUACGUUCCCGGGCCUUGUACACACCGCCCGUCACACCAUGAGAGUUGGGAAUACCCGAAGCCUGUGAGCUAACUUAUAGAGGCAGCAGUCGAAGGUAGAAUCAAUGAUUGGGGUGAAGUCGUAACAAGGUACC
rnacentral:rRNA from 1 species